rnacentral:tRNA from 1 species
GGGGUUGUGGCUCAGUGGUAGAGCACUCACUUAGCCAUAUGUGAGGAUGUGGGUUCAAUCCUCAGCACCA